GUCCUAUUAGGCGCUGCGUCGAUCCUCCGUCCACCAGCUGUGUGUGUGUGUGUGUGUGUGUGUGUGUGCGGCUCUCACGGGCUCCGUGCUCAAACGCGCUCUCGCGCUGGACAGCACCUGCUGCCGGGGAACAAGAGGCACAGGAACUCAGGAAGCAGUUGCCACGUGCGGACACAUAGCCCGCGAAGAGGAAACCAGCAGGCGCACUUUUCUCUCUUGUUUCUCCGAGAGAGGACCGAAAAGGAGAAGAAGCGACGAGGCCCCGUUUCUCGCACCAUACAUCUCUCUCUCUCUCUCUCUCGCUCUCUCUCUCUUUUCGUCUCGCUGCCUGGAGUGCGUCUGUGACCCGGUCGCCCAGUGCCGUUGCCGGGUGAUGAUGUCCACCGAGGAGGAGCUUCGGGAAGCGCUCUCCCGUGAGCGCAGGUUGGUGCGCGGUCUCCUCCUGUGGGGCACCCUGCUCUCCCUGGUCCAGGCUGCCACCCUCACCCUGCUCUUCACCUGGCCGAUGAAGACAGCUCCCAGUGUGGACACGCCGCUGAAAGCCACAGAGGUUGGUCCAAAAGAGAAGGCCCCAGUCACUGCCCAGCAUCCAACAGGGCAGGUGCCAUUUGAAGAGUUCACCGUCUAUCCCGAAUCAGGGUCCAGCACCAAGGUAGGAAUCAUCAAGUGGAGGUCAGAGGAUGGUGAAAAAUCUCUGGAAAUCUCCCAAGAUGGACGCUACUUCCUGUACAUCCAGGUCACCGUCCAGAAGCCUGACCAGGACAGCUUCUACACUGUGAAGGUCAGCAAGCACAAUGACCAAACACAAUCCAAAGUUCUGCUGGAGGACUGCUUCAGGGGGAAGAAUUCAAACGAGUCCCCCAGUACAGGCUUCCUGGGGCGGCAGGUCCAGCUCUCAGUGGGCGAUAAGCUGUCUGUCACCUGUUCCCCCUCUGCAUUGAUCAACACCACCGACACUGCAACUUAUUUGGGAUACUACCUGCUGAGUAUGUAACAACCUCCUGGCCGGCCUUUGCACCUCAGUCUGCGCACUGGAAGCUCACGUCUGUCCUUUGUCAAACCCCAGCAGUUCCUUGUUUCAAACUUUUCUAUAACCCAAAAUUCCAAAACUCUCCAAGGAUCUACAAGUUGAAACUGAACUUUUGACCUACCACCACAAAUCUCAGGAAUUCCUCAGCAUCUUCCCACUGGAACUGCAGCUUUCAUGGACCUCUAAUUCCAACAAUUCCUCAGCAUCUACCUACUGCCGCUGACCUUCUUAUUGUCCCCCAGGACUACCAAGUCAAUGGAACCAAACUUCGCUGUACCCUAAAUCAACCAGUCCUGGAGGAUCUACCUGCUGGAACUGAACUUUUAAUGACCCUUUAACACCAGCAAUUUCCGAGUGUCUAACUUCUGGAACCGAUCUUGUCGUUAACCUCUAAUACCAGCAGUUCCAGAGGUUCUGCUUACUGGAUAUAAUGUUUUAGUUCAGCCCCAAUUCCAACAGUCUUUGAGGAUCUAGAAGUUGGACAUGAACUUUAAGUUCACCUCCAUCCCAGCCAUUUUGAAGUUCUAUCUGAUGGAGCCAAACUUUUAACUAACCUCUGAUUCAAUCAGUUCUUGAGGACCUUCAAGUUUAAACUGAAACCCCAGC
rnacentral:lncRNA from 1 species